rnacentral:rRNA from 1 species
GAUGAACGCUGGCGGCGUGCCUAAUACAUGCAAGUCGAGCGAACGGACGAGAAGCUUGCUUCUCUGAUGUUAGCGGCGGACGGGUGAGUAACACGUGGAUAACCUACCUAUAAGACUGGGAUAACUUCGGGAAACCGGAGCUAAUACCGGAUGAUAUUUUGAACCGCAUGGUUCAUAAGUGAAAGACGGCCUUGCUGUAACUUAUAGAUGGAUCCCGGCUGCUUUAGCUAGUUGGUAAGGUAACGGCUUACCAAGGCAACGAUGCUUAGCCGACCUGAGAGGGUGAUCGGCCACACUGGAACUGAGACACGGUCCAGACUCCUACGGGAGGCAGCAGUAGGGAAUCUUCCGCAAUGGGCGAAAGCCUGACGGAGCAACGCCGCGUGAGUGAUGAAGGUCUUCGGAUCGUAAAACUCUGUUAUUAGGAAAGAACAUAUGUGUAAGUAAAUGUGCACAUCGUGACGGUACCUAAUCAGAAAGCCACGGCUAACUACGUG